rnacentral:rRNA from 1 species
CACAUAGUUAGCCGGUGCUUAUUCUUCAGGUACCGUCAUUAAGAAUGGAUAUUAGCCACUCCCGUUUCUUCCCUGACAAAAGAGCUUUACAACCCGAAGGCCUUCUUCACUCACGCGGCAUUGCUGGAUCAGGCUUGCGCCCAUUGUCCAAAAUUCCCCACUGCUGCCUCCCGUAGGAGUCUGGACCGUGCCUCAGUUCCAGUGUGGCUGGUCGUCCUCUCAGACCAGCUACUGAUCGUCGCCUUGGUGAGCCUUUACCUCACCAACUAGCUAAUCAGAUAUCGGCCGCUCCAGGAGCACAAGGUCCGAAGAUCCCCUGCUUUCAUCCUUGGAUCGUAUGCGGUAUUAGCGUAACUUUCGCUACGUUAUCCCCCACUCUUGGGUACGUUCCGAUAUAUUACUCACCCGUUCGCCACUCGUCAGCGGAGCAAGCUCCCUGUUACCGUUCGACUUGCAUGUGUAAAGCAUGCCGCCAGCGUUCAAUCUGAGCCA